AUUGAACGCUGGCGGCAUGCCUUACACAUGCAAGUCGAACGGUAACAGGUCUUCGGAUGCUGACGAGUGGCGAACGGGUGAGUAAUACAUCGGAACGUGCCCGAUCGUGGGGGAUAACGGAGCGAAAGCUUUGCUAAUACCGCAUACGAUCUACGGAUGAAAGCAGGGGACCGCAAGGACUUGCGCGGACGGAGCGGCCGACGGCAGAUUAGGUAGUUGGUGGGAUAAAAGCUUACCAAGCCGACGAUCUGUAGUUGGUCUGAGAGGACGACCAGCCACACUGGGACUGAGACACGGCCCAGACUCCUACGUGAGGCAGCAGUGGGGAAUUUUGGACAAUGGGCGCAAGCCUGAUCCAGCCAUGCCGCGUGCAGGAUGAAGGCCUUCGGGUUGUAAACUGCUUUUGUACGGAACGAAAAGACUCUGGUUAAUACCUGGGGUCCAUGACGGUACCAUAAGAAUAAGCACCGGCUAACUACGUGCCAGCAGCCGCAGUAACAC
rnacentral:rRNA from 1 species